rnacentral:rRNA from 1 species
UACGGAGGGGGCGAGCGUUAUUCGGAAUUAUUGGGCGUAAAGGGCGCGUAGGCGGCCCGGUAAGUCAAAGGUGAAAUCCCUCGGCUCAACUGAGGAACUGCCUUUGAAACUGUCGGGCCUGAGGCCGGGAGGGGGUAGCGGAAUUCCCAGUGUAGCGGUGAAAUGCGUAGAUAUUGGGAGGAACACCGGUGGCGAAGGCGGCUACCUGGACCGGUUCUGACGCUGAUGCGCGAAAGCGUGGGUAGCAAACAGG